CGAGGCAUAAUUGCACGACGCACUAUGUAAUAGCUCGUUCAUUCAGGUGAUUAUUGAGGCAUAGUAUCAUGUGUAGAUUGCAUACUUAUGUAGUAGCUCAUUUCUUGUAUACUGAGGCCUAGUAUCAUGUGGUAGAUCAUACACUAGGUAGUAGCUCAUUUAUCGUUCAUUAGGGCGCAACUGAGUAGUCUAAUGUUGUUCCGGUUUUGGUUCUUGUGAACGUUGAUAUCGAUUCGUUCUAAAUUUAUAUUCUCGGAGCAUAAUAGAACAAUAUAAUUAGGAUUUAUUCUUUGUUCGAUAGAAUGAGAAAAAGUACAUGUUGCAAAUUUAUACUGUUAGGGCGCAACUGAGUAGUCUAAUAUUGUUUCGGUUUUGGUUCUUGUGAACAUUGACAUCGAUUCGUUCCAAAUUUACACUCACGGGGCAUAAUAGAACAAUAUAAUUAGGGUUUACUCUUUGUUCGAUUGAAUGAGAAAAAGUACUCGUUGCAAAGUUAUACUGUUAUGGCGCAACUGAGUAGUCUAAUGUUGUUUCGGUUUUGGUUCUUGUGAACGUUGACAUCGAUUCGUUUUAAAUUUACACUCUCGGGGCAUAAUAGAACAAUAUA
rnacentral:lncRNA from 1 species